AUUGAUCGCUGGCGGCAGGCCUAACACAUGCAAGUCGAGCGGAUGAAGGGAGCUUGCUCCUGGAUUCAGCGGCGGACGGGUGAGUAAUGCCUAGGAAGCUGCCUGGUAGUGGGGGAUAACGUCCGGACACGGGCGCUAAUACCGCAUACGUCCUGAGGGAGAAAGUGGGGGAUCUUCGGACCUCACGCUAUCAGAUGAGCCUAGGUCGGAUUAGCUAGUUGGUGGGGUAAAGGCCUACCAAGGCGACGAUCCGUAACUGGUCUGAGAGGAUGAUCGGUCACACUGGAACUGAGACACGGUCCAGACUCCUACGGGAGGCAGCAGUGGGGAAUAUUGGACAAUGGGCGAAAGCCUGAUGCAGCCACGCCGCGUGUGUGAAGAAGGUCUUCGGAUUGUAAAGCACUUUAAUUUGGGAAGAAGGACAGUAAGUUAAUACCUUGCUGUUUUGACGUUACCUACAGAAUAAGCACCGGCUAACUUCGUG
rnacentral:rRNA from 1 species